CUCAAAAUUCCUGUACGUAUAUAAAAUAAUAAUUUCAUACUGGGCUUGCUUUUGAAAAAAAUUAUUUUACAAUUCAAGAUACAUUUAUAGCAUUUGUUUAUAUAGCUGUUUUCUUUAGGUGACAUGUUAAUGGCCUAAUUAAACCUUUGAUGGUCUUUAAUCAUGUUAAUCUGUUGAUCACUCUAUCUCAGAAGUCCUUUUGCACCAAUUACUGUUUUUCAGGGGUAUCAUUUGCGCCAAAUUUUGUUUUUCAAAUGUAUCAUUUGCGCCAAUAUUCAGAACUCAAUUGCGCCAAUUUACCUGUACACAUAUCUAUCAAAAAUAUUGAUGAUUGAUAUACAAUUGUUCUUAUUUUUGACUUAAAAAUUAUCAUAUGUUCGGAGAUAUUUAACCAUGAAGAUGAGCAUCAGGAGAGAAAUUACUUAAAAUGCAUUAAAAAGUCAAUUUACAGUGAGAGAAUAAAAACUUUUUACUUUGCUGAGUAUUUAAUAAAGAUAUGCCAAUUGCGAAAAAAAAUAGAAGCUUUUGCUGAUUAUGUUUUAGCCACAUAUGUUGAUGACACAGUGAUUUGUU
rnacentral:lncRNA from 1 species